rnacentral:snRNA from 1 species
AUUUUAUUUUAAAAAUAAUCGGUAUACAGAGAAGAUUAGCAUGGCCCCUGCGCAAGGAUGACACGCGAAUUCGUGAAGCGUUCCAUUAAAAA